GCGCCCGUAGCUCAGUCGGUAGAGCGGUGGAACGGUGAUCCACAGUCCCGGGUUUAAAUCCCGACGGACGCU